GUGGUUGUAGCUCAGUCGGUAGAGCGCAGUUUGUGGCACUGGAUGCCGCAGGUUCAAGUCCUGUCAACCACC
rnacentral:tRNA from 1 species